rnacentral:rRNA from 1 species
GAUGAACGCUGGCGGCGUGCCUAACACAUGCAAGUCGAACGGAGUCCAACCUCUAAGACCUUCGGGUCAAAGAGGGGAAGACUGAGUGGCGGACGGGUGAGUAACACGUGGGCAACCUGGCUCAUAGAGGGGGAUAACAGAGAGAAAUUUCUGCUAAUACCGCAUAAGCACACACUGCCGCAUGGCAGAGGGUGAAAAGAGAAUCGCUAUGAGAUGGACCCGCGUCUGAUUAGCCAGUUGGCAGGGUAAGAGCCUACCAAAGCGACGAUCAGUAGCCGAUCUGAGAGGAUGAACGGCCACAUUGGGACUGAGACACGGCCCAAACUCCUACGGGAGGCAGCAGUGGGGGAUAUUGCACAAUGGGGGGAACCCUGAUGCAGCGACGCCGCGUGAGGAAGAAGUAUUUCGGUAUGUAAAGCUCUAUCAGCAGGGAAGAUAAGAC